CAGUAGCCGCGGGAAUACGGAGGGUGCAAGCGUUAUCCGGAUUUAUUGGGUUUAAAGGGUCCGUAGGCGGACUUAUAAGUCAGUGGUGAAAGCCUGUCGCUUAACGAUAGAACUGCCAUUGAUACUGUAAGUCUUGAGUAUAUUUGAGGUAGCUGGAAUAAGUAGUGUAGCGGUGAAAUGCAUAGAUAUUACUUAGAACACCAAUUGCGAAGGCAGGUUACCAAGAUAUAACUGACGCUGAGGGACGAAAGCGUGGGUAGCGAACAGGAUUAGAUACCCCUGUAGUCCCUGUCUCUUAUCA
rnacentral:rRNA from 1 species